rnacentral:rRNA from 1 species
AUUGAACGCUGGCGGCAGGCCUAACACAUGCAAGUCGAACGAGUGGCGGACGGGUGAGUAAUGUCUGGGAAACUGCCCGAUGGAGGGGGAUAACUACUGGAAACGGUAGCUAAUCCCGCAUACCAUCGGAUGUGCCCAGAUGGGAUUAGCUAGUGGGGGGGGUAACGGCUCACCUAGGCGACGAUCCCUAGCUGGUCUGAGAGGAUGACAAACCACAAUGGAACUGAGACACGGUCCAGACUCCUACGGGAGGCAGAAGGGGGGAAUAUUGCACAAUGGGCGCAAGCCUGAUGCAGCCAGGCCGCGUGUAUGAAGAAGGCCUUCGGGUUGUAAAGUACUUUCAGCGAGGAGGCGUUACUCGCAGAAGAAGCACCGGCUAACUCCGUGCAAGCCGCCGCGGUAAUAC